rnacentral:rRNA from 1 species
CGGAGGUCCCAAGCGUUGUUCGGAUUUACUGGGCGUAAAGGGUGCGUAGGCGGUCGGGUAAGUCUGAUGUGAAAUCUCUGGGCUCAACCCAGAAAAGGCAUUGGAUACUAUUCGGCUAGAGAGUUGGAGGGGGGACUGGAAUACUUGGUGUAGCAGUGAAAUGCGUAGAUAUCAAGUGGAACACCAGUGGCGAAGGCGAGUCCCUGGACAACUUCUGACGCUGAGGCACGAAAGCUAGGGGAGCAAACAGGAUUAGAUACCCUGGUAGUCCUAGCUGUAAACGGUGCUUAUUUGCUGUAAAAGGAAUCGACCCCUUUUGUGGCGUAGCAAACGCGUUAAAUAAGCCGCCUGGGAAGUACGGUCGCAAGAUUA